rnacentral:tRNA from 1 species
GGCCGCGUGCCCGAGUGGUCAGGGACUCGUCUGCAAAGCGAGCUACACCGGUUCGAAUCCGGUCGCGGCCUCCA